UUUUACAGGGUCCAAUAAAUUUAAGAGAAAUAAGAAUUCUCAGCUGCAAACAGAGGAUGCUUUUUGCAAUUGUGUCAAAAAGAACAAUUAUAAAACAUAAAUCUAAGAUAAUAUUUGAAAACUCUAUAUAAAAUGAUAUUUUUGAGAAAAAUGAAAAAGACUUUAACAAAAGAAAAUAUAUGCCAUAUUCUGGGAUUAGAAGACUUAAUAUUGUGCAGAUGUCAAUUCCCUCUAAACUGAUCUAUAAAGCCAAUGCACUUCCAGCAAAUUUCUGUGAUGAAUAUUAUGUGAUGAUGUGAUUCCAGAAUUUAGACAGUAAAAAGUGAAAUACAGUAAAAAACAAAGUACAACAAACAAACAAAAAAGAUCCAUGGAGUUGAGUCAGACAAGUAAUCAGAUUCUUAAAAUCCAAUAGAAUGAGUUCUCCAACGCACACAACAAAAUGUUGUUCAUCAGAAUACCGUAGGAGAGCAAAGGAAAGGCUGAUGCCUUGGAAAAAUCUGGAAGGAAUUCACAGAGGAAGUAAGCUUUGAGCUGGAUUGAAAUACAUGGCAUUGCUUGGGAGAAAAUGAGAAAACCAAGGAAAUAUUCGCUGUAAAGUAUUGAGACGUGAAAGAGUGGCAAGCUGGGCAAGCUGGCACAUGGAAUGGGUGGAUCAUUAGUAGAAAAUGCCAUUAAUGUAACAGGUCAGGACCAGAGUGGGGAAAGCCUCUUUCACACAUAGAUACAUCAUGUUCUUCAUUUAUUCUGCAGUAGCACAGGUGUUUGUCCCAGCCUUCAGUUCUCUAAUCAUUCAGCCAUUACUGAGCACCUGCUAUGCAUCAGGAAACUAACUAUUUUCAUGUUUCUACAUGGUCAAAGCUUUCUGAGCAAAAAAUACUGGCAACCUGACUUAAAGGAUAAACGAAUGACAAACAAGCCUUGGAAGUGAAAGACAGUAAAAUAUUCCAGGCAGAUUUAAAGAUUAAUCUUCCCUGGAGCCAUUUGUUCACAUUUCAAAGGAUGACACUACUAGUACCAAUCAUCAUCAUCCCAGUUUCAUUUGCUUGCAUUAGAAGGUGCUGUAACAUCCUAAAGAACUUCCUCCUAUCUUUCCAGAA
rnacentral:lncRNA from 10 species